GCUCCGCUUCAGCCUCCAAGCACCAAGCAACCCCUCCUCGCACCAAACGUCCCUCUUUGGAAACCAAACGCCCCCUCCUUGCCGCCGGCGAUUUCAAGUACACAACAGAACAGGCACUUGGUUUGCAUGUUUACUGUGCUAAAAACAGUUACGAGCAAUCUGGAUAGCCCUCUGUUAGCUGUGAUGAAAACAUUCUCCAGUAUAUCUGACGGUGCCUGCCACUGAAGAGGCCCAAGAAACGCUGCAGCUCGAUGGGGAAUAAGCCUUGCUUUCUAAAAUGACACAUUGAAGACCUGAUGCUGGCUUUCACCUGGGAUCAGUGCUGCAACACCAUCCCUGAUGGAUGAUAUUUGAUUAAGUACAGGAUGAGAUUUGCAUAUGGGAGCUCUGGGAUAUGUCCAGCAGUUAGGUAUGGUUGAAUGGGAAAGAAGUUAUAUGAUGCCUCGACAAUGGCAAGAGCCAAGUUAACAUCCUCACAGACGUGCUGGAGCUGGAGAGCCACAGUCAGAAACACGAAGAAGAGAGAAUGAACAGCUGGGCGGCAGGAUGUCCUCCUCACUUCUUGGCCCUCUCUAUGGACAUUUUACUUCUUCAUGACAAGUCACAGAGGGCACGUGCACUGUUCAUGGAAGAGCAAGAUACUACAGCAUACCACAUGCCCCAUCCCCAACUGCUGCUUUAAAUAUAUCCCUAAGAAGUGGCACAUUGCUGGACCACUUUCACUUGGGCAGGACUGGCUGUCGUGGGGACCUUGGAAGGGUGAGGGGCAACGCAAGACUCACAGAGCUGUUUGCCUUUUCCUGGGCAAAGCCCAGCUUGGGGUCUCUGGGUCUCACAGCUUGCAUGCCACUUGGGCUCCCGCCGUGUCUCUGAAAUGUAGGGUCAAAGCUGACAAUUAGUUUCCAGAAACAAAAAAAAAGAAAAUGAAUCUUCAAUAACCUCUGAUUUUGAGUCUUCGAAUUAUCUAGCCAGCCCAGUAGGAGAGGAACAAAAUGUUUGUCCUUCCUACACCAAAUAUUCCUUGUAAAUCUAAACAAACAAACAAACAAAAAAUCCAGAAAAAAUCCUACUGAUUUAAAGAAAAAUAUAUCUACAGGUUAAUCACAGUAAUUACUAUUUAGAUAUAAAUUAUCUGCAGAAACACAGGACGCUGCUAUUGUCUUACUGCAGCAUCACUGAAAAAUGUCUUUCAUUCAAAUUACAAGACUGAGUAUCAGUUCCAUGUUAUUUUUCCAGGAACAGAGGGCUCCAUGUAUUAUUUGUGAUGUUCCUAAUUUUUAAUUACCCCAAAUUAAAACAAUGGAAUGAUAUAUGAUGAAUGAAACCAAGCAUAUGUUAAAAACGUCUAAACAGUUUUACCUGGGAAAAUGAACAGAAACAUAAAUUGCUUGUAGUGCAUAUUUAAAAAUUCAAUAGCAAGCUAAAAUUAUAAUUUGCAUUAAUGUAUUCUGAAAUAUGAAUUAUUAAGUGAUUCACAUUGGUGCAACAAAAGCCAGUUUGGAGAACCUAGCUUUAGCCUGCAGCAUUCCUCAGCAGCCUUAUCUUCGCAGUCCCCUCUAAAUAGUGCUAAAUAUAUAAAGGAGAUUCUUCUAAUUGCAAAAAUGUCUAUAAAACACUUUUAUGAAAAAAAGAAAACCCUCUACAUUUCCAAGCAGCUUUAAAAAAACCCCAACACCUCUCAAACAAAAAGAAUCCAAAUAUUCAAUGCUAUUCAAGUUUCCUUCCUUUUUUUAACCCCCUUUGUACUUUGCACUCCUGUAAUUUUUUUUUUUUGCUUUAAUCCCAGUCAUCAUGUAGGUUUUUUUUUUUUUUUAAUCCCUUCAUUCUUGCACAGACUUUCAUUGUUUAGAGGUCAAGGAAACGAGCUGCUAGAGGAAAGCAUGGCAAGAGCCCAUGCCUGCAGUGCUGUGGAGUAGCUGGGGACAGUGGUGGGUGUGCAGACUGGACCCGGGGCCUGUGGCAGCAUCCUGGAGGAGCACCAGGUGGUGGGACAAGGAGGAUUCCCCAGCUGUGGGCCAGGAGCACUGUCUUUCUUCUCUGGACAGUGGCAGAGGGGCAGGAGGGAUUGUGCAAGUUGGGAAGUCUGACUGAAACAUCCAGUGCUUUAUCCAGUGAAAUCUUAGUUUGUGGAGUAAUACUUCCUCCUCUGCAUUGUGUAAGAAGGGGGAAACCUGUCAGCGAGGU